CUGCUGGCGGCCCUUCUGCUGCUGCUCUGCGCCGCACUCACAGCGCUGCUGCUCAGGAGGAGGCCGAGAUCCGCAGCGCCCCCCUCCGACGGCGCCCAUUGGUACGAGUUGGACUCCGCCGCGUGGCCCUCCCCCGACGGCUUCGCGUACCGCAACAGCGCCGCAGGCUGCUCCCUGCGCAGUUUCACGCCCUCAUUGGACGCAGUGAAUACCUCCGUCCCGAUGCAGAUCGCCCGACCCACCGUACACACGCGCUUCUGAGCCCCCCCUAUGGGGGAACCGCAGCCGGACCCACAACUUCGUCUGCCCCACAUCUGCCCCACAACUGCCCCACAACUGCCUGUCUGCCUCACUUCUGCCCCACAUCUGCCCCACAUCUGCCUGUCUGCCUCACUUCUGCCCCACAUCUGCCCCAUAACUGCCUGUCUGCCCCACAACUGCCUGUCUGCCCCACAUCUGCCCCACAACUGCCUGUCUGCCUCACUUCUGCAACAUAACUGCCCCACAUCUGCCCCAUAGCUGCCUGUCUGCCUCACAUCUGCCCCAUAACUGCCUGUCUGCCUCACUUCUGCCCCACAGCUGCCCCACAACCACCUGUCUGCCUCACUUCUGCCCCACAUCUGCCCCAUAGCUGCCUAUCUGCCCCACAUCUGCCCCACAUCUGCCCCACAUCUGCCUGCCUACCUCACAUCUGCCCCACAUCUGCCUCACAUCUGCCCCACACCUGCCUGCCUACCCCACAUCUGCCCCACAUCUGCCUCACAUCUGCCCCACACCUGCCUGUCUACCUCACAUCUGCCCCACAUCUGCCCCACAACUGCCUGUCUGCCUCACAUCUGCCCCACGUCUGCCUGUCUACCUCACAUCUGCCCCACAUCUGCCCCACACCUGCCUGUCUACCUCACAUCUGCCCCACAACUGCCCCACAUCUGCCCCACAACUGCCCCAAAUCCGCCCCACAUCUGCCUCACAUCCGCCCCACAUCCGCACGCAGGCCGUGCCCCUCCCCCCUUAUUUAUUAUUUAUUAAUGCAAUAAAUUAACGAACGGC
ensembl:lncRNA